AGAUUAAGUUAUUAAGGGCGCACGGUGGAUGCCUUGGCACUAGAAGCCGAUGAAGGACGUUACUAACGACGAUAUGCUUUGGGGAGCUGUAAGUAAGCUUUGAUCCAGAGAUUUCCGAAUGGGGAAACCCAGCAUGAGUUAUGUCAUGUUAUCGAUAUGUGAAUACAUAGCAUAUCAGAAGGCACACCCGGAGAACUGAAACAUCUUAGUACCCGGAGGAAGAGAAAGAAAAUUCGAUUCCCUUAGUAGCGGCGAGCGAAAUGGGAAGAGCCCAAACCAACAAGCUUGCUUGUUGGGGUUGUAGGACACUCUAUACGGAGUUACAAAGGACGACAUUAGACGAAUCAUCUGGAAAGAUGAAUCAAAGAAGGUAAUAAUCCUGUAGUCGAAAAUGUUGUCUCUCUUGAGUGGAUCCUGAGUACGACGGAGCACGUGAAAUUCCGUCGGAAUCUGGGAGGACCAUCUCCUAAGGCUAAAUACUCUCUAGUGACCGAUAGUGAACCAGUACCGUGAGGGAAAGGUGAAAAGCACCCCGGAAGGGGAGUGAAAUAGAACCUGAAACCGUGUGCUUACAAGUAGUCAGAGCCCGUUAAUGGGUGAUGGCGUGCCUUUUGUAGAAUGAACCGGCGAGUUACGAUUUGAUGCAAGGUUAAGCAGUAAAUGUGGAGCCGUAGCGAAAGCGAGUCUGAAUAGGGCGUUUAGUAUUUGGUCGUAGACCCGAAACCAGGUGAUCUACCCUUGGUCAGGUUGAAGUUCAGGUAACACUGAAUGGAGGACCGAACCGACUUACGUUGAAAAGUGAGCGGAUGAACUGAGGGUAGCGGAGAAAUUCCAAUCGAACCUGGAGAUAGCUGGUUCUCUCCGAAAUAGCUUUAGGGCUAGCCUCAAGUGAUGAUUAUUGGAGGUAGAGCACUGUUUGGACGAGGGGCCCCUCUCGGGUUACCGAAUUCAGACAAACUCCGAAUGCCAAUUAAUUUAACUUGGGAGUCAGAACAUGGGUGAUAAGGUCCGUGUUCGAAAGGGAAACAGCCCAGACCACCAGCUAAGGUCCCAAAAUAUAUGUUAAGUGGAAAAGGAUGUGGCGUUGCCCAGACAACUAGGAUGUUGGCUUAGAAGCAGCCAUCAUUUAAAGAGUGCGUAAUAGCUCACUAGUCGAGUGACACUGCGCCGAAAAUGUACCGGGGCUAAACAUAUUACCGAAGCUGUGGAUUGUCCUUUGGACAAUGGUAGGAGAGCGUUCUAAGGGCGUUGAAGCAUGAUCGUAAGGACAUGUGGAGCGCUUAGAAGUGAGAAUGCCGGUGUGAG
rnacentral:rRNA from 1 species